rnacentral:rRNA from 1 species
GACGAACGCUGGCGGCGUGCUUAACACAUGCAAGUCGAACGGAAAGGCCCUGCUUUUGUGGGGUUCUCGAGUGGCGAACGGGUGAGUAACACGUGAGUAACCUGCCCUUGACUUUGGGAUAACUUCAGGAAAAUGCGGCUAAUACCGGAUAGGAGCUCCUGCUGCAUGGAGGGGGUUGGAAAGUUUCGGCGGUUGGGGAUGGACUCGCGGCUUAUCAGCUUGUUGGGGGGGUAGUGGCUUACCCAGGCUUUGACGGGUCGCCGGCCUGGGAGGGUGACCGGCCUCAUUGGGACUGAGAGACGGCCCAGAGUCCAACGGGAGGCAGCAGUGGGGAAUAUUGCACAAUGGGCGGAAGCCUGAUGCAGAAGCGCCGCGGGCGGGAUGACGGCCUUCGGGUUGUAAACCGCUUUCGCCUGUGACGAAGCGUGAGUGACGGUAAUGGGUAAAGAAGCACCGGCUAACUACGUG